rnacentral:lncRNA from 1 species
GACACCUUCAUCCAUAGUCACCAAGGCCCACGUCAUUAGAUCUGACCUCAGGCCACUCCUCACAGUGAAGAUCAAGACAUGGGAAGUGAGCUAAUUUGCCAUAGGACUUUGGGCUGACCCAUAUCAAAAAAACAGAGAGAGAGAUAUGAAUGGCAGCCACAGAGAGGACAGAUGGAGUUCUGGUGUUUGCGCCAUGAGAUUUGCUGAUGGGCAGGUGCCCAUCAAGUGCUGCUCCUGGGAACUGGAAAUAAGAGUGAGGCCUCACGAGAAGGCACCAGAAGGCAGAGGCUGGCCAGUAGUGCUUGGGUUGGAGACAGAGGCCAUGCUCUGUCACCUCCUCACUGUGGGCCUGAGUAAGCGACCAGCUUCUCUGGACCUCAGACUCAUUAUAUGUAAAGCAGGGAUAAUAUCUUCCUAGUCCGCCUUAUGUUGUACUCAAAUAACAUUUAUUGAGCACCUGCUGUGUACCAGAGAUUUCUCUAGGUGCACCGCAUAGGACAGCAGUGGGCUGAACAAGCAAUGGCCCUAUGCUCACAGAGCUGACACUGUCGAGGAGAAGAGUGACGAUGAGCACACAGAUGGACACAUAGACCACAUAGAAGUGUGUCCCAAGGAAUGACACGCGCUACGAAUUAAACCACAGCCAGGGAGAGAAAAAGGGAAAGAAUAUGGAGGUCCAGAAGUUGAAAGCUAACCCAAGUAGCAGAGCCAGGAUUUAACCCUUUUUGCCAAAAGAAGGAUGGAUAAUGUGAUCAGUUUAAGGUGGUGCAACAGGAAACAGGGACAGUUUCUUUUCAUAUUAAAAACUAAAUCAUUUGUAAAGAAAUAUUUUUUUCUCCCUUCUCUAUAACCUCUUUCCUUCCUCUUAUUUAGUACAGAAAAAUAACACUGCAGCUAGUAGAAAAAUCCCUGCCUGUAACCACUGGCAUCUAGAUUUCAUUUUCCCUAUCUACCCCACAAAUCACAAUCCAUUUGCCUGUAAAAAUUACUCUGAAAACUUCAAUUUUCUCCCUUGUUUAUUCCUCCCCAUGUGCUAAGUUUGCAUUACUUGCUGUUAAUAUAAAUGGUUAAACCGUUCAGUUGACUUUUAUUAUCAAUUGGUAUUUAUUGUGAAUAAGCCUUCAGUUAUUAUGUUAUUUAAAAAGCAUGUGGUAAUAUUCUUCUGAAAAAC